rnacentral:rRNA from 1 species
UACCUUGUUACGACUUGGCAUGGCCGAGAGCUGCCAGCCUGCCGCGGUGCAGGAAGACGGCCUUAUGGGUUGUAAACUGCUUUUUUAUGGGAAUAACCACUCUUACGAGUAAGGGUCUGCAAGUACCAUAAGAAUAAGCAUCGGCUAACUCCGUGCCAGCAGCCGCGGUAAUACGGAGGAUGCAAGCGUUAUCCGGAAUUAUUGGGUUUAAAGGGUGCGUAGGCGGACUAGUAAGUCAGUGGUGAAAUUCUCGGGCUUAACCUGGGACCUGCCAUUGAUACUGCUGGUCUUGAGUGUAGUUGAUGUUGGCGGAAUGUGUCAUGUAGCGGUGAAAUGCAUAGAUAUGACACAGAACACCGAUAGCGAAGGCAGCUGACAAAACUAUAACUGACGCUGAGGCACGAAAGCGUGGGGAUCAAACAGGAUUAGAUACCCUGGUAGUCCACGCCGUAAACGAUGAUCACUAGCUGUAUGCGAUACACUGUAUGUGGCUAAGGGAAACCGAUAAGUGAUCCACCUGGGGAGUACGUCCGCAAGGAUGAAACUCAAAGGAAUUGACGGGGGCCCGCACAAGCGGAGGAGCAUGUGGUUUAAUUCGAUGAUACGCGAGGAACCUUACCUGGGCUUGAACGUAUGGUGCAUGGGUGUGAAAGCAUCCUUUCCAGCAAUGGACUUCAUACGAGGUGCUGCAUGGUUGUCGUCAGCUCGUGCCGUGAGGUGUUAGGUUAAGUCCUGCAACGAGCGCAACCCCUGUUUUUAGUUGCCAUCAGGUUAAGCUGGGCACUCUAGAGAGACUGCCUGCGCAAGCAGAGAGGAAGUGGGGAUGACGUCAAAUCAGCACGGCCCUUACGUCCAGGGCUACACACGUGCUACAAUGGCCCGGUACAGAG